rnacentral:rRNA from 1 species
AUUGAACGCUGGCCGCAUGCCUUACACAUGCGAGUCGAACGGUAACGGGCCUUCGGGUGCCGACGAGUGGCGCACGGGUGCGUAAUACAUCGGAACGUGCCCGAUCGUGGGGGAUAACGAGGCGAAAGCUUUGCUAAUACCGCAUACGAUCUACGGAUGAAAGCAGGGGACCGCAAGGCCUUGCGCGGACGGAGCGGCCGAUGGCAGAUUAGGUAGUUGGUGGGAUAAAAGCUUACCAAGCCGACGAUCUGUAGCUGGUCUGAGAGGAUGAUCAGCCACACUGGGACUGAGACACGGCCCAGACUCCUACGGGAGGCAGCAGUGGGGAAUUUUGGACAAUGGGCGCAAGCCUGAUCCAGCCAUGCCGCGUGCAGGAUGAAGGCCUUCGGGUUGUAAACUGCUUUUGUACGGAACGAAAAGCCUUCUUUUAAUACAGGAGGGUCAUGACGGUACCGUAAGAAUAAGCACCGGCUAACUACGUG